rnacentral:rRNA from 1 species
GCUUGUCUCAAAGAUUAAGCCAUGCAUGUCUAAGUAUAAAUCUUUUACUUUGAAACUGCGAACGGCUCAUUAUAUCAGUUAUAGUUUAUUUGAUAGUCCCUUACUACUUGGAUAACCGUAGUAAUUCUAGAGCUAAUACAUGCGUCAAUACCCUUCUGGGGUAGUAUUUAUUAGAUAAAAAACCAACGCCCUUCGGGGCUCCUUGGUGAAUCAUAAUAACUUAACGAAUCGCAUGGCCUUGCGCCGGCGAUGGUUCAUUCAAAUUUCUGCCCUAUCAACUUUCGAUGGUAGGAUAGUGGCCUACCAUGGUGGCAACGGGUAACGGGGAAUUAGGGUUCGAUUCCGGAGAGGGAGCCUGAGAAACGGCUACCACAUCCAAGGAAGGCAGCAGG